AACACCGGUGGCGAAGGCGGUUUUCUAGCUUAUUCCUGACGCUAAAGCGCGAAAGCAAGGGGAUCAAACAGGAUUAGAUACCCUGGUAGUCCUUGCCGUAAACUAUGUAUACUUGGUGUAACUGGACUCAACCCUAGUUGUGCCGUAGCUAACGCGUUAAGUAUACCGCCUGGGGAGUACAGUCGCAAGGCUGAAACUCAAAAGAAUUGACGGGGACCCGCACAAGCAGUGGAGCAUGUGGUUUAAUUCGAUGCAACGCGAAGAACCUUACCCAAACUUGACAUGCAGUAGACCGGUCUAGAAAUAGGCCUUUCCUUCGGGACUGCUGCACAGGUGCUGCAUGGCUGUCGUCAGCUCGUGCCGUGAGGUGUUGGGUUAAGUCCCGCAACGAGCGCAACCCUUAUCAUUAGUUGCCAACAUUUAAGGUGGGAACUCUAAUGAGACUGCCUGCGGUUAACCAGGAGGAAGUAGAUGAGGAUGACGUCUAGUCCGCAUGGCCCAUUAUGUGUGGGGAUACACACGUGUUACAUUGUUCGUUACAAAAGGCAGCGAAACCGCGAGGUGAAGCAAAUCCCGAAAGCCGGCCCCAGUUCAGAUUGUAGUAUGCAACUCGACUACAUGAAGACGGAAUUGCUAGUAAUGGCGA
rnacentral:rRNA from 1 species